UACGUAGGGGGCAAGCGUUGUCCGGAUUUAUUGGGCGUAAAGAGCUCGUAGGCGGUUUGUCGCGUCUUGCUGUGAAAACUCGGGGCUUAACUCCGGGCCUGCAGUGGGUACGGGCAGACUAGAGUGCGGUAGGGGAGACUGGAAUUCCUGGUGUAGCGGUGAAAUGCGCAGAUAUCAGGAGGAACACCGGUGGCGAAGGCGGCAUCCUGGACCGAUAUUGACGCUGAUGCGCGAAAGCCAGGGGAGCAAACGGG
rnacentral:rRNA from 1 species